AGAGUUUGAUCCUGGCUCAGAUUGAACGCUGGCGGCAGGCCUAACACAUGCAAGUCGAACGGCAGCGGGGGAUAGCUUGCUAUCCUGCCGGCGAGUGGCGGACGGGUGAGUAAUGCCUGGGGAGCUGCCCAAUCGAGGGGGAUACCAACUGGAAACGGUUGCUAAUACCGCAUACGCCCUGCGGGGGAAAGGUGGGGACCUUCGGGCCUACUGCGAUUGGAUGCACCCAGGUGGGAUUAGCUGGUUGGUGAGGUAACGGCUCACCAAGGCGACGAUCUCUAGCUGGUCUGAGAGGAUGACCAGCCACACUGGAACUGAGACACGGUCCAGACUCCUACGGGAGGCAGCAGUGGGGAAUAUUGCACGAUGGGGGAAACCCUGAUGCAGCCAUGCCGCGUGUGUGAAGAAGGCCUUCGGGUUGUAAAGCACUUUCAGUGGGGAGGAAGGGGUGAUGUCUAAUACGCAUCAUCAUUGACGUUACCUACAGAAGAAGCACCGGCUAAAUGGGCGUGCCAGCAGCCGCGGUAAU
rnacentral:rRNA from 1 species